UACGGGAGGGGCGAGCGUUAUCCAACAUGACUGGGCGUAAAGGGUCCGUAGACUGUAAAAUAAGUUACUCGUUAAAUUUUAAAGCUCAACUUUAAAAUAGCUUGUAAUACUGUUUUACUUGAGUUUUAUACAGAAGAGCAGAAUUUUAUACGAAAGGGUGAAAUCUAUAGAUAUAUAAAGGAAUACCAGUAGCGAAGGCGGCUCUUUAGUAAAAACUGACGUUGAGGGACGAAAGUGUAGGUAGCAAACAGG
rnacentral:rRNA from 1 species